AGUGAACGCUGGCGGUAGGCCUAACACAUGCAAGUCGAACGGCAGCACAGUAAGAGCUUGCUCUUACGGGUGGCGAGUGGCGGACGGGUGAGGAAUACAUCGGAAUCUACUUUUUCGUGGGGGAUAACGUAGGGAAACUUACGCUAAUACCGCAUACGACCUACGGGUGAAAGCAGGGGAUCUUCGGACCUUGCGCGAUUGAAUGAGCCGAUGUCGGAUUAGCGAGUUGGCGGGGUAAAGGCCCACCAAGGCGACGAUCCGUAGCUGGUCUGAGAGGAUGAACCGCCACACUGGGAGUGAGACACGGUCCUGACUCCUACGGGAGGCACCAGUGGGGAAUAGUGGACAAUGGGCGCAAGCCUGAUCCAGCCAUACCGCGUGGGUGAAGAAGGCCUUCGGGUUGUAAAGCCCUUUUGUUGGGAAAGAAAAGCAGCAGGUUAAUACCCCGCUGUUCUGACGGUACCCAAAGAAUAAGCACCGGCUAACUUCGUG
rnacentral:rRNA from 1 species